ACAGCAGUGGGGCAGCUAUACAUGCAGUCGAGCGGACAGAUGGGAGCUUGCUCCCUGAUGUUAGCGGCGGACGGGUGAGUAACACGUGGGUAACCUGCCUGUAAGACUGGGAUAACUCCGGGAAACCGGGGCUAAUACCGGAUGGUUGUUUGAACCGCAUGGUUCAGACAUAAAAGGUGGCUUCGGCUACCACUUACAGAUGGACCCGCGGCGCAUUAGCUAGUUGGUGAGGUAACGGCUCACCAAGGCGACGAUGCGUAGCCGACCUGAGAGGGUGAUCGGCCACACUGGGACUGAGACACGGCCCAGACUCCUACGGGAGGCAGCAGUAGGGAAUCUUCCGCAAUGGACGAAAGUCUGACGGAGCAACGCCGCGUGAGUGAUGAAGGUUUUCGGAUCGUAAAGCUCUGUUGUUAGGGAAGAACAAGUGCCGUUCAAAUAGGGCGGCACCUUGACGGUACCUAACCAGAAAGCCACGGCUAACUACGUGCCAGCAGCCGCGGUAAUACGUAGGUGGCAAGCGUUGUCCGGAAUUAUUGGGCGUAAAGGGCUCGCAGGCGGUUUCUUAAGUCUGAUGUGAAAGCCCCCGGCUCAACCGGGGAGGGUCAUUGGAAACUGGGGAACUUGAGUGCAGAAGAGGAGAGUGGAAUUCCACGUGUAGCGGUGAAAUGCGUAGAGAUGUGGAGGAACACCAGUGGCGAAGGCGACUCUCUGGUCUGUAACUGACGCUGAGGAGCGAAAGCGUGGGGGAGCGAACAGGAUUAGAUACCCUGGUAGUCCACGCCGUAAACGAUGAGUGCUAAGUGUUAGGGGGUUUCCGCCCCUUAGUGCUGCAGCUAACGCAUUAAGCACUCCGCCUGGGGAGUACGGUCGCAAGACUGAAACUCAAAGGAAUUGACGGGGGCCCGCACAAGCGGUGGAGCAUGUGGUUUAAUUCGAAGCAACGCGAAGAACCUUACCAGGUCUUGACAUCCUCUGACAAUCCUAGAGAUAGGACGUCCCCUUUCGGGGGCAGAGUGACAGGUGGGUGCAUGGUUGUCGUCAGCUCGUGUCGUGAGAUGUUGGGGUUAAGUCCCCGCAACGAGGCGCAACCCUUGGAUUCUUAGUUGCCAGCAUUCCAGUUUGGGCCACUUCUUAAGGGUGACU
rnacentral:rRNA from 1 species